AGUGAACGCUGGCGGUAGGCCUAACACAUGCAAGUCGAACGGCAGCACAGUAAGAGCUUGCUCUUACGGGUGGCGAGUGGCGGGCGGGUGAGGAAUACAUCGGAAUCUACUUUUUCGUGGGGGAUAACGUAGGGAAACUUACGCUAAUACCGCAUACGACCUACGGGUAAAAGCAGGGGAUCUUCGGACCUUGCGCGAUUGAAUGAGCCGAUGUCGGAUUAGCUAGUUGGCGGGGUAAAGGCCCACCAAGGCGACGAUCCGUAGCUGGUCUGAGAGGAUGAUCAGCCACACUGGAACUGAGACACGGUCCAGACUCCUACGGGAGGCAGCAGUGGGGAAUAUUGGACAAUGGGCGCAAGCCCGAUCCAGCCAUACCGCGUGGGUGAAGAAGGCCUUCGGGUUGUAAAGCCCUUUUGUCGGGAAAGAAAAGCAGCAGGUUAAUACCCCGCUGUUCUGACGGUACCCAAAGAAUAAGCACCGGCUAACUUCGUG
rnacentral:rRNA from 1 species